rnacentral:rRNA from 1 species
AGAGUUUGAUCAUGGCUCAGGAUGAACGCUAGCUACAGGCUUAACACAUGCAAGUCGAGGGGAAACGACAUCGAAAGCUUGCUUUUGAUGGGCGUCGACCGGCGCACGGGUGAGUAACGCGUAUCCAACCUGCCCACCACUUGGGGAUAACCUUGCGAAAGUAAGACUAAUACCCAAUGACGUCUCUAGAAGACAUCUGAAAGGGAUUAAAGAUUUAUCGGUGAUGGAUGGGGAUGCGUCUGAUUGGCUUGUUGGCGGGGUAACGGCCACCAAGGCUACGAUCAGUAGGGGUUCUGAGAGGAACGGUCCCCANAUUGGAACUGAGACACGGUACCAAACUCCUACGGGAGGCA